UCCAAGAUGCGUUCCCCAAUUUGGAACGAAAUAGAAACGCGGACAGACUAGGGCUUCCAGCUCCGGUGGCGGACCUCGCCGUGUGCUCCGCUGCGACGCCGGGCGAACGAGCUCGACACGGUACAGCCGUCCAGCUCGCGCCCCUCUCCCACUCCACCGGACCCGACCCAACCCGGCGCCAGCUCCGCCAUCCAUCGACGCUGGGGAAGAAAAGUCAGAUCUUCAGGGCCAGCUGAAGGAGACGGUUCUUUAGUCUCCUUUAUGUAUACUGUAGAUUGCUGACAGGCCUAGCUGAAGCAACAAAAGCUUCAGACUUGUAUUCUUGAGAAUACCAUUAUUAGGAGAAAUGUCAGCAGGAAAUCCAUUGAAACAACACCGACUCAGCAUUUGGUAAGCUACAUGUUACAGUUUCCUUUUUAUCGCUGCAAGCAAGAUUCUUUGUGUGGCCAUAUGUUGGUUUUGGAUGAUGAACAGAGCCUUUAGUAAUAGCAUUUGUUACUUUCUGUAAACUUAGCACAGGGAAAUUCAGUGACCCAAAACUGGAUCUCACAUUUAUAUACUUAUAUCAGGAGGCCCCUGAACACUUAGUCUCAUCCUCCGUGAAUGACCCAAACAACAGAACCUAUAUUACAGAAGAAACUAGGAUGAGAACAAAUGAGUAGAUCAAAAACUUGAGCACUAAAAUAGCUUGCGUGGCAUCCAAACAGCAGCUAUGUCAAGAUGUGAAUACAUUAAUUACAAGCUGAAGCAGAGGAGACUAAAGAACCGUCUCCUUCAGCUUGCCCUGUGAAAAAUGCAGUGACUGAAGUAGCUACAUCUCUCGAAAUCAAUAUAAAGGGACCGAUGGAUCAGCAGAAAAAUUGUAUAGUAACUGCUUCUAUAUGAAUUUCACGUCAGCUGUCUGGUCUGUGGAAACUCAAUUCUGGACCCUAUCUGAUCAUACACCACUAAUGAAAAAAUAGCGAUAGUAAAAUUUCAGCAACUUAUGGCCUAAUACUGUACAUAAGUUCGAACAAAUCCAUCUACCACCUGGAUGUGAAGUGCUAGUUGGGACAAGACUGGGAUUCGUCUACCUGUACAAUGUGUGCGACUUCCCUUAUUUCUGGGAGAUCCCUAUCUAUUUGUUAGCACCAGAUGCCAGAUGCCAGAUCCCUAUCUAUUCAUAACACUCUUUUCCUUAGUACAUCCAAAUGCCAGUGCAUUCAGAAAAUUUCUCUCUUCACUACUAUAGCAUGAUUUUUUUAUUGUGUUGCAUGAAAAGCUAACUCUUAGUUGCUCCUGCAUGUACUAUCUAGCAUUUUUAUCUGCACAGAGUAGAGAAUGAUGGAGUCAAUGGCAAGUAUUGCUCCAAGUGCCGGGUUAACUACAACAAUGGGACUUGAAGAUGACGCCAACAACUUUUCCAUGGUAUUUCCUUGAUAUAUUACUCAUGUUCAUAUGUCCAUGUCAUGUCAUGUCAUCCACCUGAGGUUGCAAACACAAAGGGCAGUGGAAAGAGAUUGAAGAGGGGUUCAGAGGAGGCCAUGAACAAAAGGAAGAGAGCAAGUAGCGUACAAAAAGUUCCAAAUCUGUAGAUUGUUCUAGUUAUCAGCACACUUAGCCCAUGGGAGCGGACAUCAUUCAUCUUGUGUUAAAUCAUGAUUGAAAAAUGACUUCAUUCCUGUGCUAUCCAAUGUUGGAGACUUCUGCUAACCUAGUUGAAUAUGUUGGUGCAAUAUAUGUGUACCGGCUACCUUGGGCUAUAAACCACGUUUGGGUUGCAACUCUAGUUAUGUGCUCAUGGUAGAUUUAUAUGUAUCCCUUUAUGUGUACUGUCAUGAGUACUGCUCAGAAAGCAUUCAUGAUAUUUUGUACAAAAAGGUGUGCAAGAACAUAAUAUUGUUGUACUGUUAGCUUUCAAAUACCAAGAUGGAUUUGAAAGUGGUGGAAUGCAUUUCCAAUGGAUGGUGAUUGUUGUGUUCCCUUCUUA